AGAGGCAGGAAUUUCUUUGCAAGCCAGAAAGAAAGGAAAAUCAGACAUCUGGAGAGAAAAGCUGAGAUUUCUGAAGUUCUCAACAGUAAAGAGUAGAGACAAGGUUUCACCAUGUUGGCUGGGCUGGUCUUGAACUCCUGACCUCAAGUGAUCUGCCUGCCUUGGCUUCCCAAAGUGCUUGGAUUACAGGCAUGAGCCACCAUGCCCAACCACCAUUGGCAUUGCAAAAAGAAGUGGAGUGAGUUUGCUUUUCCUGCAAGUGGCUGCAUAUGAGACUAUCUGUGAGUUAGCACUGAGCUCGAUUAAAAUCAGUAAAUACCAUCUUGAAAAUUGAGAUCGCUCCUUUAAAUGAAAGCCCUGGAAACUCAAGCAAAAAUGCAAGUAUGUAAGCAUGUUGCCUGGAAGGGAGAACACAUGAAACUCCUAUAAACCAUUAACGUGUGCAUGCAA
rnacentral:lncRNA from 1 species